UAAUUUAUAGUAAAAGGAAGUGGGAAAAAGGGAAUCUAUGUCAUUUUUACACCAGGAUUGUUUGUAUUCGCAGUAUAUGUUAUGAUCCGAUUGACAUGCACCAUUAUUGUAAUUAAUAAUGUGGAUGAGCAACUCAUUUGCAUUGACAAGUUUGGAAGUAUUUUAGUAUAUCUAUAUUUGAUUGUUGUAGAUGCGUCCGUUUCUGGAGCGAUUACUGGAAUUGCUUUUGGAAGGUCAUCUAACUGUUCGAGUGUGUCUUUUAAUAAUAUUCAUGCAGCAUGAUUUAUUUUCA